rnacentral:rRNA from 1 species
AGAGUUUGAUCAUGGCUCAGGGUGAACGCUGGCGGCGUGCUUGACACAUGCAAGUCGAACGGUAUGUGGCAACACAUAGAGUGGCGAACGGGUGAGUAACACGUGGGAACGUAUCUUUUGCAGGGGGAUAACUGACCGAAAGGACAGCUAAUACCGCAUAAGUCCGGGAGGAGAAAGGUGCAACAGCAUCGGCAGAAGAGCGGCCCGCGGUCCAUCAGCUAGUUGGUGAGGUAAGGGCUUACCAAGGCGACGACGGAUAGCCGGCGUGAGAGCGUGGCCGGCCACAAGGACACUGAGAUACGGGUCCUACUCCUACGGGAGGCAGCAGUGCGGAAUUUUAGAUAAUGGAGGGAACUCUGAUCUAGCGACGCCGCGUGCAGGAAGAAGGUCUUCGGAUUGUAAACUGCUGUGGUAAGGGAAAAAUGCUAUGUAGAGUGGAAAGCUACAUAGAGGGAUGGUACCUUACUAGAAAGCCCCGGCUAACUACGUGCCAGCAGCCGCGGUAAUACGUAGGGGGCGAGCGUUACCCGGAAUCACUGGGCGUAAAGGGAGCGUAGGUGGCCUAACAUGUCAACUGUGAAAACCCGGAGCUCAACUCCGGACUUGCAGUUGAAACUGGUAGGCUUGAGGACGGUAGAGGAAGACGGAACUGCCAGUGUAGGGGUAAAAUCCUUAGAUAUUGGCAGGAACGCCGGUGACGAAGGUGGUUUUCUGGGCCGGUUCUGACACUGAUGCUCGAAAGCCAGGGGAGCGAACGGGAUUAGAUACCCCGGUAGUCCUGGCCCUAAACGAUGUUCACUAGGUGUGGGGAGCGGAAAGCUCUCCGUGCUAAAGCUAACGCGAUAAGUGAACCGCCUGGGGAGUACGCCCGCAAGGGUGAAACUCAAGGAAUUGACGUGGACCGCACAAGCGG